ACACUGUCAAAAAAACAAUAUACGAGAAUAAAUAAUUAAACCCAUUUUCAUAUACGUUUCUCCCGAUAUUAUUCUCUAAAUUGAAAGAAAACAACAGGCAUAUAUUUUCAUUAGCUUUGAACUGAAAACCUUUUAAGAUAAGCCGAAGUUGACUUUUUCGGUAUUUUUCGUUAUUUUUAUAGUCCUGUUUGCCUUUAGUAUUUUCAACUAUAAGAAAGAUGAUUCUUGUUCAUCGCCUAUAAUCGUACAGCAAAGAAAAACAUAAACAACAUUUUCUUACCUUCUUCCUGGUUCUUCCACUUUUGCUGCAUUCUCUCUUUCUGUUCUUUCCUUGCCGUUUCCAUUCUGUCGUUAUAUUCACACACAAACACAAACAAAAGCACUAUUAAAAAAAAAAAAAAACAAACAGAAACACAAAUGAAUUUUAUAAUUUAUUCAUAUUUUUCUUUCCGCGAUCGGCUCUUUUUGUGCGCGAAUAAUCCACUAAUUUUUCCCGCAAGACGCACUUAGCACCAAAGACGCUCAGCUACAACGGUACAACAAAUGAAACGAGAAGGCAGCAAUUUUUGGUCGAAUAACAACAACAGAUCACCAAAAAAAACGGGACACGUUGACAUAUAUAUUUAGUGGAAGGCGCGGCUAAGAGGCAACGGUACAGCAACUGGAAUUUCCAAGCAACUCCACUCAA